UACAGAGGGUGCGAGCGUUAAUCGGAAUUACUGGGCGUAAAGCGUGCGUAGACGGUUAUGUAAGUCGGGUGUGAAAGCCCCGGGCUCAACCUGGGAAUUGCAUUCGAGACUGCGUAGCUAGGGUGCGGAAGAGGGAAGCGGAAUUUCCGGUGUAGCGGUGAAAUGCGUAGAUAUCGGAAGGAACACCAGUGGCGAGGGCGGCAUACUGGACCACUACUGACGCUGAUGCGCGAAAGCCAGGGGAGCAAACGGG
rnacentral:rRNA from 1 species